rnacentral:rRNA from 1 species
UACGGGGGGGGCAAGCGUUGUUCGGAAUUACUGGGCGUAAAGGGCGCGUAGGCGGCCUGCUAAGUCGGAUGUGAAAUCCCUCGGCUCAACCGAGGAACUGCAUCCGAUACUGGCGGGCUUGAAUCCGGGAGAGGGAUGUGGAAUUCCAGGUGUAGCGGUGAAAUGCGUAGAUAUCAGGAGGAACACCGGUGGCGAAGGCGGGUCUCUGGGCCGAUACUGACGCUGAGGAGCGAAAGCGUGGGGAGCAAACAGG